GGGCCGUUAGCUCAGUAGGCAGAGCAGGAGACUUUUAAUCUCAAGGUCCAGGGUUCGAGACCCUGACGGCCCACCA
rnacentral:tRNA from 1 species